UAGACAAACCUGGGGAAUAAAGUUCUCCUCACUGAACAGGCACAGCAUGAGCAGUGGCAGUGUAAGCUUCUCCACUGUAGCUCACCACACACCAAUCUUGACUUGGAGGAUGAGAUAGUAUUUCAUUUUCCACAAUUCUUCAUCCCAUGACUGAG
rnacentral:sRNA from 1 species